GACGAACGCUGGCGGCGUGCUUAAUACAUGCAAGUCGAACGGAAAGGCCCUGCUUUUGUGGGGUGCUCGAGUGGCGAACGGGUGAGUAACACGUGAGUAACCUGCCCUUGACUUUGGGAUAACUUCAGGAAACUGGGGCUAAUACCGGAUAGGAGCUCCUGCUGCAUGGUGGGGGUUGGAAAGUUUCGGCGGUUGGGGAUGGACUCGCGGCUUAUCAGCUUGUUGGUGGGGUUGUGGCUUACCAAGGCUUUGACGGGUAGCCGGCCUGAGAGGGUGACCGGCCACAUUGGGACUGAGAUACGGCCCAGACUCCUACGGGAGGCAGCAGGGGGGAAUAUUGCACAAUGGGCGGAAGCCUGAUGCAGCAACGCCGCGUGCGGGAUGACGGCCUUCGGGUUGUAAACCGCUUUCGCCUGUGACGAAGCGUGAGUGACGGUAAUGGGUAAAGAAGCACCGGCUAACUACGUG
rnacentral:rRNA from 1 species